AUGUUGUCUCGUUUGUGGAAGCUCAAAGUCAUUCCCAGAGUGAGAGUCUUCUGGUGGCGGGUGUUGCAAGGCAUUCUCCCCGUCGAAGCCACUCUGAAAUACCACCAUAUUGCGACGGUAAGCACAUGCAAAUUGUGUCUUCAUUCUGACGAAGAUAUGAUGCACGCACUACUGGAGUGCCCUCACGCCAGGCAGUUUUGGGAUGCAACACCAGAGUGGCUAAAUGUUAAAAGGCCGACCCUGCACCCGCUAACCUGGUCAAGGGAUAUCCUAUGUGACGAUAUAUUUUCAGAGUCUGAAAGAGCAACUCUAGUGACUGUUAUGUGGACGAUUUGGACCUCUCGGAACAAUAUCACCCACGACAAAGCUGCGUUCAAUCCUAGCCAAUCCAUGAGAAAGGUGCGGGAAACCCUAGCAGUUCUGGAGCUGCAUCGUGAGCAUGCCCGUAGUUUGCCGGGCCAUGGCUGGCGCCCACCAGAGUUGGAUCAAAAUAAAUACUGA
rnacentral:rRNA from 1 species